UACGUAGGGUGCGAGCGUUGUCCGGAAUUACUGGGCGUAAAGAGCUCGUAGGUGGUUUGUCGCGUUGUCCGUGAAAACUCACAACUCAAUUGUGGGCGUGCGGGCGAUACGGGCAGACUGGAGUACUGCAGGGGAGACUGGAAUUCCUGGUGUAGCGGUGAAAUGCGCAGAUAUCAGGAGGAACACCGGUGGCGAAGGCGGGUCUCUGGGCCGAUACUGACGCUGAGGCGCGAAAGCGUGGGGAGCAAACAGG
rnacentral:rRNA from 1 species